rnacentral:rRNA from 2 species
AGUGAAGCGGGAUGAGCUCAAUUUUGAAAUCUGGCUGGUUUUACUGGUCCGAGUUGUAGUUUAUAGAGGUGUUUUCGGUGGCAGCCUGGGUAUAAAUCCUUUGGAAUAGGGUAUCAUGGAGGGUGAGAAUCCCGUCUUUGACCCAGGUUCAUGCUACUAUGUGAUACAUCUUCAAAGAGUCGAGUUGUUUGGGAAUGCAGCUCUAAAUGGGUGGUAAAUUUCAUCUAAAGCUAAAUACAGGCGAGAGACCGAUAGCGAACAAGUACCGUGAGGGAAAGAUGAAAAGAACUUUGAAAAGAGAGUUAAACAGUGCGUGAAAUUGUUGAAAGGGAAACGUUUGAAGCCAGCCGUGCGGGCGGAAAAUCAGCCUAGCUGUGAUGAGGAGCUAUUGGGGGUUCGGAGCGCAAGCCCGGCCUUUGGUGGAAUCUUUGUCACAAUGGGUGCACUUUUUCGUUUGCAGGCCAACAUCAGUUUGCUUCGCUGGAAAAGGCCUUGAGGGAAUGUGGCAGCUUUGGCUGUGUUAUAGCCCUGAGGAGAUACAGUGGAGUGGACUGAGGAGUCGCAGCGUGUGCUCUUGGGCAAGGUAGACUGGGUGCUGUGGGAUGGGGCGAGGUACAAUGCAUGCAUUUUGCUUCGUCUUUUCUGUCCUGCACUCGCUCAUCUCUACUCUUCCACGCUGGGAUGUUGGCAUAAUGGAUUUAAACGACCCGUCUUGAAGCACGGACCAAGGAGUCUAACAUAUAUGCUAGUGUUUGGGUGGCAGACCCAUGCGCGAAAUGAAAGUGAACGUAGUGCGAUCCGCAAGAGGCAGCAUCGACCGAUCUUGAAUUUUAUGAUGAAUUUGAGUAAAAGCAAAUAUGCUGGGACCCGAAACGAUGUGACUGAUGCCUGCAUACGUGAGUCUGACGAACCUCUGGUGGAGGCUCGUACGCAUUCUGACUUGCAAAUCGAUCGUCCAAUUUGGUUAUAGGGGCGANAGACU